UGGGGAAUUUUGGACAAUGGGGGCAACCCUGACGCAGCAACGCCGCGUGAAGGAUGAAAUCCUUCGGGAUGUAAACUUCGCAAAACUGGGAAGAACAAAAUGACGGUACCAGUUGUAAGCCACGGCUAACUCUGUGCCAGCAGCCGCGGUAAUACAGAGGUGGCAAGCGUUGUUCGGAAUUACUGGGCGUAAAGCGCGUGUAGGCGGCUCUUCAAGUCAGGCGUGAAAGCCCCAGGCUCAACCUGGGAAAUGCGUUUGAUACUGUCGAGCUAGAGUGUGGAAGGGGCGAUUGGAAUUCCGGGUGUAGCGGUGAAAUGCGUAGAUAUCAAGAGGAACACCUGAGGUGAAGACGGGUUGCUGGGCUGACACUGACGCUGAGGCGCGAAAGCCAGGGGAGCAAACGGGAUUAGAUACCCACGUAGUCCCUGAGCGGGCUGGCAAGGCGCAU
rnacentral:rRNA from 1 species